UGGGGAAUAUUGCACAAUGGGCGAAAGCCUGAUGCAGCAACGCCGCGUGAGCGAUGAAGGCCUUUGGGUCGUAAAGCUCUGUCCUUGGGGAAGAAAAAAAUGACGGUACCCUUGGAGGAAGCCCCGGCUAACUACGUGCCAGCAGCCGCGGUAAUACGUAGGGGGCAAGCGUUAUCCGGAAUUAUUGGGCGUAAAGAGUGCGUAGGUGGUCCUGUAAGCGCGGGGUGAAAGGCAAUAGCUCAACUAUUGUAAGCCUUGCGAACUGUGGGACUUGAGUGCAGGAGAGGAAAGCGGAAUUCCUAGUGUAGCGGUGAAAUGCGUAGAUAUUAGGAGGAACACCAGUGGCGAAGGCGGCUUUCUGGACUGUAACUGACACUGAGGCACGAAAGCGUGGGGAGCAAACAGGAUUAGAUACCCUGGUAGUCCACGCCGUAAACGAUGAGCACUAGGUGUCGGGGCCGCAAGGCUUCGGUGCCGCAGUUAACGCAUUAAGUGCUCCGCCUGGGGAGUACGCACGCAAGUGUG
rnacentral:rRNA from 1 species